ACCUACUUGGUGGAAUUGGUAGACACGAUAGACUUAAAAUCUAUUUCUUAUAAUAGAGUGUUGGUUCAAAUCCAACAGUGGGUA
rnacentral:tRNA from 1 species